UGAAGAGGUUCAGUGGGACACGUUUGAUGAUGAUGAUGAGGCUCAUGCCGAUCUUGGUAAUGAGAUCCACGGUGCUUUACUAACUGUUGGCUUCUUGCCAGGACUGGCAAUUGAUUUAAUCCCAUUAUCAAGGACUCUGAACAAAUUUCAGGGAAAUCAAGUACUCAUGAUUGAUGAUCUCGUGCUCAGUGUCAGGGAACGCUCAUCCUCUCGUUCUGGAUCAGCAUCACCGGUGGGGAUUUUGUUAUUUUCUGAUGAGGAAACUGACAUCAAAUUUGUCCUUGAAAAGUUUGAUUAUGCCUUUUCCACUGAGACUGUCAUUGUGGGUGACGGAGGUUCUCAGUUUUUAUACCGAGGUGAGGCUGCAAUUAAUCCUUCUAAUAACAAAGCGGCGAGUUCAGCUGCUGUUGUUCUUUUAUUUUCAAGGGAUAGAGGCAAACCUCCUGGUGUUGGGGAAACUCAGUUUCACGUAAUGUUAUCCACUGGCAUUUCAUCGAUUGGGCCUACAUACAAAGCUGUUUCUGUUAGGGGGAGAUCCUGUGACUACUCAACUUGGCUCACUGCAAAAAGAGAAGCAGUUCAUGGAAGUCUAGAUGGUCAGACUAUUUUAGAUCAGAUUUAUGAUGAGCUUGGAGGUCAUAACAAUUGUCCAGUUCUAUAUAUUGGAGUUACAAAGAGAAGGAAAUGCUCUAUUGGCCAGGAAAAACCAAGCUGGAUAAGUACACAUGAAUUCCAUGAGGUUUUAAGUGGUGAUGAGGAGUAUCUGUAUGUCCAUGGUGUUGGUAUCAGAAGUGGAGACUCCUUCCGGUUUUACCAUGCAAGUUCAGAUUUAGCCCGUGCUUCUUGCAACACUGUUGCAAAUAACUUCAGACAUUUGAAGCAACUACUUAACUAUGAACGUGAUGAUCAUACUAAUAGCAAUGGCGUAGCUACACACAAGAAGCCUGUGUUUGGUGGUAUAAUGUUUGCUUGUUGUGGUCGUGGCAAGUUAUUUUUUGGUGAACCUAAUGUAGACGGCUCACCUUUCUUGGAGAAGUUCCCUGGGGUUACUUUCUCAGGAACCUAUUGUACCGGAGAAAUUGCACGUGCAGAUUUGUGCUCAUACAAACAGGGUUCUCAGGAACACAGCUCUAUAAGUUGCAAUUUGCACGUAUUUAGCACCGUCUACCUUGUUAUGUCAUAUACCCCUCCAUUGCCUCAACAUUAGAGAUAGCUGGUUUUGCCAUUGAGAAUCCUGACAGGUAUUGGCAAAAGAAAACAAAAUUCUG
rnacentral:misc_RNA from 1 species